CAAUGAACCGUGAAAAUGAGGUCAGGGUCAAAAGAAACCUGCGCUACUGACAUAAAGAUCAUAAAAUAUUUCCAUACACUAAAUAAAGUUGACCUAUGGCAUAUAGUAUUAGAUAAAAAGACCAAAACUCAAAAACUUAACUUUGACCACUGAACAUGAAAAUGAGGUCAAGGUCACAUGACAUCUGCCCGCUAGACAUGUACACCUUACAAUCAUUCCAUACAACAAAUACAGUAGACCUAUUGCAUAUAGUAUGAAAAAAACAGACCAAAACACAAAAAUUUAACUAUAACCACUGAACCAUGAAAAUGAGGUCAAGGUCACAUGACAUCUGCCCGCUAGACAUGUACACCUUACAAUCAUUCCAUACAACAAAUAUAGUAGACCUAUUGCAUAUAGUAUGAAAAAAACAGACCAAAACACAAAAAUUUAACUAUAACCACUGAACCAUGAAAAUGAGGUCAAGGUCAGAUGACACCUGCCAGUUGGACAUGUACACCUUACAGUCCUUCCAUACACCGAAUAUACUAGCCCUAUUGCUUAUAGUAUCUGAGAUAUGGACUUGACCACCAAAAC
rnacentral:lncRNA from 1 species